rnacentral:rRNA from 1 species
GCUUACUUGUGUGGCCUUGAGUGGCUCACCGCAUGGAUGUCCACCACUCGUCUCAUUUGGUAGUGAAAUGCAGGGCUCCAUUCAGGCCCUACUUUGGGUCCCAAGUGGUUCCCCCUUGAAAUCCUGACCUCUGUAAGGGAUGCAUUUAUUAGAAAAAAGGCCAGUGCGGCUUUGCCCGAUGCUUUGGUGAAUCAUGAUAACUCGACGGAUCACAUAGCCAUUGUGCUGGCGACGCAUCAUUCAAUUUUUUGCCCUAUCAACUUUCGAUGGUAGGAUAGGGGCCUACUAUGGUGGUGACGGGUGACGAAGAAUUAGGGUUGUAUUCCGGAGAGGGAGCCUGAUAAACGGCUACCACAUCCAAGGAAGGCAGUAGGCGUGCAAAUUACCCAAUUUUGACAUGGGGAGGUAGUGGCAAUAACUUACAAUACCGGGCUCCAAGAGUCUGGUAAUUAGAAUGAGUACAAUCUAAACCCAUUAACGAAGAUCCAUUGGAGGGCAAGUCUGGUGCCAGCAGCCGUGGUAAUUCUAACUCUAAUAGCGUAUAUUUAAGUUGUUGCAGUUAAAAAGCUCGUAGUUGGAUCUUGGGCUGAGUCGACUUGUCCGCCUUCAUGGUGUGCACUGGCCAUCCCGUCCCUUCACCCGGCGACGUGUUCCUCGCCUUACCUGGCCAGGUCGUGCCUUCGGCAUCGUUGCUUUGAAGAAAUUAGAGUGCUCAAAGCAAGCCUACGCUUUGAAUACAUUAGCAUGGGAUAACAUCACAAGAUUUUGAUCCUAUUGUGUUGGCCUUCGGGAUCGGAGUUAUGAUUAAGAGGGACAGUCGGGGGCUUCGUAUUUCAUAGUCAGAGGUGAAAUUAUUGGAUUUAUGAAAGACGAACCACUACGAAAGCAUUUUUCGAGGAUGUUUUCAUUAAUCACGAAUGAAAGUUGGGGGCUCGAAGACGAUAAGAUACCGUCCUAGUCUAAACCAUAAACGAUGCCGAUCAAGGAUCGACAGAUGUUGCUCUUAGGACUCCGUCUGUACCUUAUGAGAAAUCAAAGUCUUUGGGUUUCGGGGGGGAGUAUUGUCGCAAGGCUGAAACUUAAAGGAAUUGAUGGAAGGGCACCACUAGGAGUGGAGCCUGUGGCUUAAUUUGACUCAACAUGGGGAAACAUACCAGGUCCAGACAUAGUAAGGAUUGACAGGCUGAGAGCUCUUUCUUGAUUCUAUGGGUGGUGGUGCAUGCCCGUUCUUAGUUGGUGGGGCACUUUGUCUAGUUAAUUCCGUUAAUUCCACUGUGAUCCAUUUCCUUGACGCUUGACGCACCGGGGUUUUGUGUUUUGUUUUUGUGGGAAGAGCCUCUACCGAACCUCAAAGGUAGGGCCCACGCAAGGCUCUCCACCACAGCAUUCUCUCCACAUGUUUGCCAGUCUGUUUGUUGGGGCAGCCUUCAAAGAUCCUUCCACAGGUUCACAUAUGGAAUUCUUGUUACGACUUCUCCUUUCUGUAAAUGAUAAGGUUCAGUGGACUUCUCGAGACGUCGCCAACGGUGGACCGCCACCAUCGCCAUGAUCGAAACACUUCACUGGACCAUUCAAUCGGUAGGAGCGAUGGGCAGUGUGUAUAAAGGGCAGGGACGUAGUCAA